rnacentral:rRNA from 1 species
UCAGUUCGGAUUGAAGGCUGAAAUUCGCCUUCAUGAAGUCGGAAUUGCUAGUAAUGGCAGGUCAGCAUACUGCCGUGAAUACGUUCCCGGGCCUUGUACACACCGCCCGUCACACCAUGAGAGUUGGAGAUACCCGAAGCCUAUGAGCUAACUUUUAGAGGCAGUAGUCGAAGGUAGAAUCAAUGAUUGGGGUGAAGUCGUAACAAGGUACC